rnacentral:rRNA from 1 species
CCUACGGGCGGCAGCAGUGAGGAAUAUUGGUCAAUGGGCGCGAGCCUGAACCAGCCAAGUAGCGUGAAGGAUGACUGCCCUACGGGUUGUAAACUUCUUUUAUAAAGGAAUAAAGUGAGUCACGUGUGCCUGUUUGUAUGUACUUUAUGAAUAAGGAUCGGCUAACUCCGUGCCAGCAGCCGCGGUAAUACGGAGGAUCCGAGCGUUAUCCGGAUUUAGUGGGUUUAAAGGGAGCGUAGAUGGGUUGAUAAGUCCGUUGUGAAAGUUUGCGGCUCAACCGUAAAAUUGCAUUUGAUACUGGCAGUCUUGAGUUCAGUUGAGGUAGGCGGAAUGUGUGGUGUAGCGGUGAAAUGCUUAGAUAUCACGCAGAACUCCGAUUGCGAAGGCAGCUUACUAAACUGCCACUGACAUUGAUGCUCGAAAGUGUGGGGAUCAAACAGGAUUAGAUACCCUUGUAGUC